UUGAUAAUGAUAACGCUUAAUUUAACAAAUAUAGAAAAGUAUUUAGGCAAUUAUAAUAAAAUGGGAAUGAAUAAGGUUUUUUUUAAUACAAAAUGUAUAUUGAGCAUCACUAAUGUUCAAUCUUUUUAAGAAAAAAGGCUAAUGUAUUAUUAUUAUUUAAAAUUGCUUAUCUAGAAAUCUGGUUGUGUAAAUCAAUGUAGUCAGUUGUUAUUCAUAAAUUGGCCAGCAGGGGCGGAGUUCCACAGGAUGUACUUUUAUUUCCCAUCAGCCUUUGCGACAGUAUAUAAAAGAGUCCUGAACCGAUUGCUCGUCCUCAUUCUUCGCCUUACUGCGUGCGCUUAUGAGAUCAUAGGUCACGUGUGACUUUAAACUUUGAAGUUAACAUGGAAAUCAAUUAUAUCUGGU